rnacentral:rRNA from 1 species
GAGUUUGAUCUUGGCUCAGAGCGAACGCUGGCGGCAGGCCUAACACAUGCAAGUCGAACGAACUCUUCGGAGUUAGUGGCGGACGGGUGAGUAACACGUGGGAACGUGCCUUUUGGUUCGGAAUAACUCAGGGAAACUUGUGCUAAUACCGAAUGUGCCCUUCGGGGAAGAUUUAUCGCCAUUAGAGCGGCCCGCGUCUGAUUAGCUAGUUGGUGAGGUAAAGGCUCACCAAGGCGACGAUCAGUAGCUGGUCUGAGAGGAUGAUCAGCCACAUUGGGACUGAGACACGGCCCAAACUCCUACGGGAGGCAGCAGUGGGGAAUCUUGCGCAAUGGGCGAAAGCCUGACGCAGCCAUGCCGCGUGAAUGAUGAAGGUCUUAGGAUUGUAAAAUUCUUUCACCGGGGACGAUAAUGACGGUACCCGGAGAAGAAGCCCCGGCGUAACUUCGUGCCAGCCGCCGCCGUAAC